rnacentral:rRNA from 1 species
AUUGAACGCUGGCGGCAGGCCUAACACAUGCAAGUCGAGCGAGCGGCGGACGGGGGAGAAAUGUCUGGGAAAAAGCGCGAGGGAGGGGGGGAACACCUGGAAACGGUAGCGAAUAUCGCAUACAACCAGAUGUGUCCAGAGGGGAUUAGCUAGUAGGUGGGGUAAUGGCUCACCUAGGCGACGAUCCCUAGAUGGUCUGAGAGGAUGACCAGCCACACUGGAACUGAGACACGGUCCAGACUCCUACGGGAGGCAGCAGUGGGGAAUAUUGCACAAUGGGCGCAAGCCUGAUACAGCCAUGCCGCGUGUGUGAAGAAGGCCUUCGGGUUGUAAAGCACUUUCAGCGAGGAGGCGUUACCCGCAGAAGAAGCACCGGCUAACUCCGUGCCAGCAGCCGCGGUAAUUC